AGAGUUUGAUCAUGGCUCAGGAUGAACGCUGGCGGCGUGCUUAACACAUGCAAGUCGAACGAUGACCCGGUGCUUGCACCGGUGAUUAGUGGCGAACGGGUGAGUAACACGUGAGUAACCUGCCCUUAACUCUGGGAUAAGCCUGGGAAACUGGGUCUAAUACCGGAUAUGACUCCUCAUCGCAUGGUGGGGGGUGGAAAGCUUUUUUGUGGUUUUGGAUGGACUCGCGGCCUAUCAGCUUGUUGGUGAGGUAAUGGCUCACCAAGGCGACGACGGGUAGCCGGCCUGAGAGGGUGACCGGCCACACUGGGACUGAGACACGGCCCAGACUCCUACGGGAGGCAGCAGUGGGGAAUAUUGCACAAUGGGCGCAAGCCUGAUGCAGCGACGCCGCGUGAGGGAUGACGGCCUUCGGGUUGUAAACCUCUUUCAGUAGGGAAGAAGCGAAAGUGACGGUACCUGCAGAAGAAGCGCCGGCUAACUACGUGCCAGCAGCCGCGGUAAUACGUAGGGCGCAAGCGUUAUCCGGAAUUAUUGGGCGUAAAGAGCUCGUAGGCGGUUUGUCGCGUCUGCCGUGAAAGUCCGGGGCUCAACUCCGGAUCUGCGGUGGGUACGGGCAGACUAGAGUGAUGUAGGGGAGACUGGAAUUCCUGGUGUAGCGGUGAAAUGCGCAGAUAUCACGAGGAACACCGAUGGCGAA
rnacentral:rRNA from 1 species